CAAUGAUGGCAUUACGAUCAUAACAAUGAUGGCUAUCAUAGGCAAUCAUUGUUAUGAUCGUAAUCCUAACACUGACAAUCAUUGUUAUGAUUGCCAUCAUUGUUAUGAUCGUAAUCCUAA
rnacentral:pre_miRNA from 1 species